CCUACGGGUGGCAGCAGUGAGGAAUAUUGGUCAAUGGGCGCGACCCUGAACCAGCCACGUCGCGUGAAGGAUGACUGCUCUACGGGUUGUAAACUUCUUUUAUAAAGGAAUAAAGUGAGGCACGUGUACCUUUUUGUAUGUACUUUAUGAAUCAUGAUCGUCUAACUCCGUGCCAGCAGCCGCGGUAAUACGGAGGAUCCGAGCGUUAUCCGGAUUUAUUGGGUUUAAAGGGAGCGUAGAUGGGUUGGUAAGUCAGUUGUGAAAGUUUGCGGAUCAACCGUAAAAUUGCAAUUGAUACUGGCAGUCUUGAGUACAGUGGAGGUAGGCGGAAUUCGUGGUGUAGCGGUGAAAUGCGUAGAUAUCACGAAGAACUCCGAUUGCGAAGGCAGCUUACUAAACUGCCACUGACAUUGAUGCUCGAAAGUGUGGGUAUCAAACAGGAUUAGAUACCUCUGUAGUC
rnacentral:rRNA from 1 species